rnacentral:rRNA from 1 species
CACAUGCAAGUCGAGGGGCAGCAUGGUCUUAGCUUGCUAAGGCCGAUGGCGACCGGCGCACGGGUGAGUAACACGUAUCCAACCUGCCGUCUACUCUUGGGCAGCCUUCUGAAAGGAAGAUUAAUACAAGAUGGCAUCAUGAGUCCACAUGUUCACAUGAUUAAAGGUAUUCCGGUAGACGAUGGGGAUGCGUUCCAUUAGAUAGUAGGCGGGGUAACGGCCCACCUAGUCUUCGAUGGAUAGGGGUUCUGAGAGGAAGGUCCCCCACAUUGGAACUGAGACACGGUCCAAACUCCUACGGGGGGCAGCAGUGAGGAAUAUUGGUCAAUGGGCGAGAGCCUGAACCAGCCAAGUAGCGUGAAGGAUGACUGCCCUAUGGGUUGUAAACUUCUUUUAUAAAGGAAUAAAGUCGGGUAUGCAUACCCGUUUGCAUGUACUUUAUGAAUAAGGAUCGGCUAACUCCGUGCCAGCAGCCGCGGUAAUACGGAGGAUCCGAGCGUUAUCCGGAUUUAUUGGGUUUAAAGGGAGCGUAGAUGGAUGUUUAAGUCAGUUGUGAAAGUUUGCGGCUCAACCGUAAAAUUGCAGUUGAUACUGGAUAUCUUGAGUGCAGUUGAGGCAGGCGGAAUUCGUGGUGUAGCGGUGAAAUGCUUAGAUAUCACGAAGAACUCCGAUUGCGAAGGCAGCCUGCUAAGCUGCAACUGACAUUGAGGCUCGAAAGUGUGGGUAUCAAACAGGAUUAGAUACCCUGGUAGUCCACACGGUAAACGAUGAAUACUCGCUGUUUGCGAUAUACUGCAAGCGGCCAAGCGAAAGCGUUAAGUAUUCCACCUGGGGAGUACGCCGGCAACGGUGAAACUCAAAGGAAUUGACGGGGGCCCGCACAAGCGGAGGAACAUGUGGU